CAAGGCUGCUGUGUGUGACCUGUAGUGGGUCUGCAGCAGAAGACCCACUGUGUGUGGCUUUUGUUUAGCCUUAAAAUGGGUAGAAUGCUGUGGGGUUAUGAAAUAACCACAUGUGCCUAAACCCUGCCUGUGCUGAGCAUUGGUUUCUUUAGCUUCCUUUUCCUGCUGUACCUUCCAAGCUUGUGUUACCAGUGCAACAGAGCCCUUCGGACCAGGCUCUGAGGUGUGUCUGGGUACACAAGUGAGCGAUGUGUGCAUUUCCCUUUGCAGAGGAAGCUGCAGGACCUGGCUGACGGGAGGAGGGCUCCUGCAGGACCCGAGGUGAGCAGCAGUGGGUGCCGUUGAACAGCCCCAUGCCCCAGCUCGUGUUGCAGACGCGGCUGUAGUGCCUUGUUUGUGUCAUUAGGUGGCAGAGAGGAAGAGGCUGUGUCUGUGCUGGGGCUCUGGAACCUGUGAGCACCCAGGAAUGAUGAGCAGCCUGACACUUGGUUCCUGGUUUUCCUGUGGUUUUUCCUUGAAUGUUAAGUGUUUCAAUGGUGAAUAAUGGACAACUCUGGAGGGACAGGGUGCAGAAGGGCUGCCCUCCACUGUGACACUAAUUCUCUUCAUGACAAUAUAAUCUUACGUGACAGAUAAGGGUACCUUUUAUACUGUCAGAUUCUGUGCUUUAGAAGUGAACCUGUUUUACUAACCUGCUCUGUUAAAAUCUAAUUCAGGUUUGUUGUAUAUCAUUUAUUGUUAGGAAUAGCAGACUCCAGUAUUCUCUAAUAGCCCUGAGUCCUUGGAGGUUUGCUUUCCUGACAUGUUGGUAUCAUUAGGAGUCAGAGGUGAAGAGCUUUCCUGUGCCAGAAGCUUGUAACUACUCAGCUCAGUAGCUUGACAUUGCUGCUGCAUUUACCUCUUUCUCCAGAGAACCAGCAGAAUAUGGAGCAAAAUUCCUUAGAAAAGCAGUUUAAAUGAUGCCAAUUUUAACUGCAUCAGGGGAAGGUCCUUUUGGGUUUUGCAAGGACAAGCAGAAGUGACAGCUGCUGUCUUGAAUUCUCUUUUUGCUUUCAGCAGCUCCUUAUGGCCUGCAAGACACUCUUGCUUGCUGUCUGUUCUGGUGGUGAAAAGACACCUGGAGUUCAGCAGGGUUUAUUUAGUGUUAUGUAGAUACCAAGAAUCACACCUGGGCGUGGAAGGGAUGGGGGAAACAGGCUUUUGAGUUUGGUGUUUUCAAAGGAUUGAUGUAGAUAGAAAACCAGUUUGGUGUGGAUUUAGCAGGUGCUGGAAACCAUGCCUUGCUCCUAAUGUUAACUCACCAGCUCCUCACUCCUUCCUCAAAACCCAAACUAAAGGUGUUUUUCCUCCUCACAGUUACAGCUGAGAGCAGGGCUGACUUCUGGAACUUGCUUCAACUGCUGCAGAUCAUGCCUUGAGGUUUGGAACUCCAGCAGACCCAGCUGCAGGAGAACUGGGCCGUGGUGUCUGCAGUGAGGAUCUGUAGGGUGCUGAAACUUCAUCUUCUCAACGUGGGUUCAAGCUCACAGCAGCCAAAGUGUGCGGUGAUGCUGCUGGUUCCGAGUGCUGCCUGCAACCUGCAUGCUCGGAUGUUGAAGAGAAAUGAUUGUUCUGUUCCCAGUGUCCUUCCUUGCCUUUGCUGUGCUGCUGGUGACUAGCUCCCAGAGCUGUAACCUUGUCCCUCUCCCACUCAUCUCUCUCCUGAGCUGUUUCCACAUUCUGAAGCACUCUGCUUUCAGUCUGUGUUUUCCCUGCAUGGUAAGAAGGGUUAUAAAAAACCCCAAACAACUAAAUAAAGAUGCCACCUCCAGUGA